UACGGAGGAUCCGAGCGUUAUCCGGAUUUAUUGGGUUUAAAGGGUGCGUAGGCGGCCUAUUAAGUCAGGGGUGAAAGACGGUAGCUUAACUAUCGCAGUGCCUUUGAUACUGAUGGGCUUGAAUGUAGUUGAGGUAGGCGGAAUGUGACAAGUAGCGGUGAAAUGCAUAGAUAUUUCACAGAACACCAAUUGCGAAGGCAGCUUACUAAAGUAUGAUUGACGCUGAGGCACGAAAGCGUGGGGAUCAAACAGG
rnacentral:rRNA from 1 species